CAUUAUUUAAGCAAUUUCAAACAACAAAAACGCAUUAAAACAUUUAUCAUGUAUACAUAAUAAUUCACGCAGUAGAGGGUCAAAUCAAAUAUAAAAAUGGUCACUAAAUUCUCAGAAUAGAACUGAGUUCAUUAUGAAAAGCACUUUUCUCAUCAUGAUGUUCAAGAAUUUUAUUAGAUGGUCAUCAGUGCAGUCCUGUUGUGGAUCUUCUUCCACGGUCACUCAGAAUCUCUCAAACUCCAUAACAAGAUCUCUCUCAGAGAUCCUGGACUCUCAGAUCCUGGAAUCGAUAGUUUCAAGAGGCGUAGAGUAAAAGACAAACUCGCUCAUGAGGUUUUUACUCAGAGAGACAGUGAUUUAGAUCGUAGUUCACCGUCUGUAGAUGAACCUACCACUGAAAAUGAAGGUUUGAUGGAGAUUCGAGAUGUUUAAAUACACAUUUUACUGGUUAAUCAUUACAGUUAAACCAGAACACAAACGGAGCCACAAUUGCAGUGAGAAGAGCUUCCGUGUUCGUUGUUUAUAUUCAGUGUGGAGCUGCAAUGAACCAGCAAACACACAACCGUGUCACAACAUAGCUGUGUUUGGAGGGAAACUACUAACAGAGAAAAGAGCAGAGCAACUUCCUGCAGAGCGGACAAACGCAACAGCACCAUUUUCACUUCGUAUUAUAAACCAAACAGGAAAGAAGCUUCUACCCACACAUCGCUCUUCUUACUCAGACCUGCACUGUCUUUCUGUCUUUAAACACAUUGAUCUCUUUAUCAAUAUGACGUUUGUGUCUAUUAGACUUCAUGAUGUUCAUGAUGUUCCUACGUUUCUCCAGGUUUCCACCAAAGUUCAAGCAGCUCAGAUGAAGAAAGCUGGAAGAUUAAUGGUUUAAUCUGACUGAGUUUGAGAAAACAUGAUAAUCUUAAACGUGAUAGUUUCUGUUUAAACUGGACUCAUAUUUGAUUUAGUAGAAGGUGUUUGAGUUGAACUCUUUAUUUUAAUGAAGAUUUCAUCACUAAUAUCAGCCUUGCUGAGUCACAGAUGCAGCACCUGUUACUCACAGUGAUGAUUUAUCUCCAUUAAAAAUACACUGUGGUUACUCUAUUCUGUAUAAACUGUUCAUUCUGUUCACACUAAAAAGGUCAGUAUUGUUUAUCAGCAAAAUUCAUACAGUGUAAAUAUUCACUGUUUAUAUUUCUGUUUAUAUUUUUACAUUUAAGUGAAUCUAUUUCCAUAAUCUGUUCAGUUUCCUGCUUGUUUGUUUGUUUGUGCUGUGUUUCUACUCAGUCCCUGAUCAAGUUAAAGACCCUCGGCACAAAUGUCUGGUGGGUUCCUACUUGGCUACCUUUUUUGGGUGGUCAGUGAUUUUUUCAUGAUUUCACAGCAGGUUCUACGAGGCCUGUGCAGCACCACUAACCGCAGUGUUGGUUGGGUCACUGUUAUAAAUGCAUAUUUUUUCCAACCAAGACAAAAAAUAGCAAGAAAAAAUGUACAACAUAUAUAAACACAAUAAAGAGAAUAGGUUAAUGAAACCUAACAACCAAUACAACCUUUCCCAAUGAAGCAAUGCGUCCACUCUUCCCAAUGAAGACCACAAAUUACAACUGGACAGCUGGAAAACCAUCAAGCGCCCUAACUAAAUCAUACUGCCACCACUGAAAGAUUCUUCUUUUUUUUGCAGAUCACUACAAACUACCAUUAGACGGGGGCUGCGUCCAAAACAGCACAUUACUGUUAUAUAUAACAUGUCAAAACUAGUGCACUACCAGUCAUUAGUCCAUUCAUUAGUAUAGUAUAUAUAGUACAGUAAUAUGUGGUUUAGGACUGUUACCAUCAAUUAUUCUCACAAAUACCUAGUUUGUGUGUAUAAAUCAACACUGGUGCACUAAUAUGUCUGUCAGAGAGACGGAAAACACUGCAGACACUGAACUACAUCUGUAGCUGUUUCAGUGCAACCGUAUUUACAGCAGAUCUUAUAUUACAAACAAUACGUGUUGAUGUCUCAAACAUGCAGCAGCAGGGACUGUCCCAAGCUGAAGAGCUGAACAGCUUGAAGCCGGCACUGUUAUUUGAUUGGCUGUGAUGGAGGGCCUGUUCUCCACCCCCUUCACUAUGUUUCCUAGAAUCUGCUCUCUGCGGUGCACUCUGCGUAGCGGAAAUGCGCCUCCCACUAAAAAAAACUGUGGUUGGAGACACAGCGGUGAAUUUUCAGCAACAGAGAGUUUCACAGCAUGUUCUCUGAGUCGGACCUGCUGAAAGAUUGGAGCUGUGAGAACAUCAGCACCUGCUGAUGGAGGAAAACGGGGGACAGUCUCAGCAGAGGAGAGGAAGAGUGAGAGAGGAGAGAAAGAAGAUGAAUGAACAGACUUUAACAGAGUCUAAUGAAGAUGUGAGAGAAGAGCUGAGAGUCCACAGAGAGAGCCGAGCAGACAGAGAGAAAGAAACUGAUGAGUGUGAUGUGAGGAGAGAGAGAGAGAGCAGUGAUAAAAGGAGGAGCAAAAGUCUGAAUCGACUCUCUGAUUUCAGAGGUUUCCACCAAAGUUCAAGCAGCUCAGAUGAAGAAAGCUGGAAGAUUAAUGGUUUAAUUGUGUUUGAGAAAACUUGUUACUCACAGUGAUGAUUUAUGUCUAUUACACUGUCGUUACUCUGUUCUGUAUAUACUGUUCAUUCUGUUCACUGAAACAGUCAGUAGUUUAUCAGCAGAAUUCAGCGUAAAUAUUCACUGUUAUAUUUUAUUUUCAUUUCUUUUUUUAUAUUUUUACAUUUACUGGAUCUGUAUUCAUAAUCCGUAGAAAGUGUUCUUUUAUGUGUUUUUCUAUUCUUCAUUUCUCUGUUUCAUUUAUUAUUAUUACAGCAGUCUAAUGUGAUGCUGCUGCAGAAGUGUGAACGGUCUUUAUUGGCCAAUAAAAUGUUCCGUUUCCUGCUU